AGCAGCCGCGGUAAUUCCAGCUCCGAUAGCGUAUAUUAAAGUUGUUGCAGUUAAAAAGCUCGUAGUUGAAUUUCGGGGUUCUACCGUUGGUCGGGCAAUAGUCUGUACUGGCGUGUAGAAUUUCUACCUUCUGGGGAACCAUCAUGUUAUUUAUUUAGCGUGGUGGGAAACCAGGACCUUUACCUUGAAAAAAUUAGAGUGUUCAAAGCAGGCUUACGUCUGAAUACAUUAGCAUGGAAUAAUAAAAUAGGACGGUGGUCCUGUUUUGUUGGUUUCUGAAUCACCGUAAUGAUUAAUAGGGAUAGUUGGGGGCAUUAGUAUUCAAUUGUCAGAGGUGAAAUUCUUGGAUUUAUUGAAGACUAACUUCUGCGAAAGCAUUUGCCAAGGAUGUUUUCAUUAAUCAAGAACGAAAGUUAGGGGAUCGAAGACGAUCAGAUACCGUCGUAGUCUUAACCAUAAACUAUGCCGACUAGGGAUCGGACGAUGUUAAUUUUUCUUGACUCGUUCGGCGCCUUACGGA
rnacentral:rRNA from 1 species